rnacentral:antisense_RNA from 1 species
CAGUUUUGGUUACUGCGCUCCUCCAAGCCAGUUACCUCGGUUCAGAGAGUUGCUGCUCAGAGAACCUUUGAAAAACCGCCUUGCUGGGCGGUUUUUCUC